UGGGUACGAGCUGCUACGGCAGCGAAGUGGGUGAUGUCAUGCUUCCAAGAAAAGCCCUAUACCCGUUAAGGCAUGAUGGCCUGUACCCGAAACCGACACAGGUGGGGUGGUAGAGAAUACCGAGGGGCGCGAGGUAACUCUCUCUAAGGAACUCGGCAAAAUGGCCCCGUAACUUCGGGAGAAGGGGUGCCACCGCAAGGUGGUCGCAGUGAAGAGGCCCAGGCGACUGUUUACCAAAAACACAGGUCUCCGCUAAGUCGCAAGACGAUGUAUGGGGGCUGACGCCUGCCCAGUGCCGGAAGGUUAAGGAAGCUGGUCAGCGUAAGCGAAGCUAGCGACUGAAGCCCCGGUGAACGGCGGUCGUAACCAUAACGGUCCUAAGGUAGCGAAAUUCCUUGUCGGGUAAGUUCCGACCCGCACGAAAGGCGUAACGAUCUGGGCGCUGUCUCGGAGAGAGGCUCGGCGAAAUAGAAUUGUCUGUGAAGAUGCGGACUACGUGCACCCGGACAGAAAGACCCUAUGAAGCUUUACUGUAGCUUGGUAUUGUGCUCGGGCUCGGAAUGCGCAGGAUAGGUGGGAGGCUAUGAACCAUUGCUUGUGGGUGAUGGUGAGCCACUGGUGAGAUACCACUCUUUCCGAGCUAGAGUUCUAACAGCCACCCGUUAUCCGGGGGCUGGACAGUAUCAGGUGGGCAGUUUGACUGGGGCGGUCGCCUCCUAAAAGGUAACGGAGGCGCGCAAAGGUUUGCUCAGGCUGGUUGGAAAUCAGCCGACGAGUGUAAAAGCAGAAGCAAGCUUGACUGUGAGACCUACAAGUCGAACAGGGAGGAAACUCGGCUUUAGUGAUCCGACGGUUCUGCGUGGAAGGGCCGUCGCUCAACGGAUAAAAGAUACUCUAAGGAUAACAGGCUGAUCUCCCCCAAGAGUUCACAUCGACGGGGAGGUUUGGCACCUCGAUGUCGGCUCAUCGCAACCUGGGGCUGAAGUCGGUCCCAAGGGUUGGGCUGUUCGCCCAUUAAAGCGGUACGCGAGCUGGGUUCAGAACGUCGUGAGACAGUUCGGUCCAUAUCCGGUGCAUGCGCAGGAAUAUUGAGAGGAUUUCUCCCUAGUACGAGAGGACCGGGAGGAACGCACCUCUGGUGUACCAGUUAUCGUGCCAACGGUAAACGCUGGGUAGCCAUGUGCGGAGAGGAUAACCGCUGAAAGCAUCUAAGUGGGAAGCCCACCUCAAGAUGAGUAUUCCCAUGGGGUAACCCAGUAAGGUCACGGGAAGAACACCCGUUGAUAGGCUCUACGUGGAAGCGCAGUAAUGUGUGAAGCGGAGGAGUACUAAUAGACCGAGGGCUUGACC
rnacentral:rRNA from 1 species